GCCAGACUCAUGGUGCUCGGUCAAUAUUUGCUGAGUGAAUGGUGCAGACCUCACGUGUGAGAUGUUACAGAGACAGAAAAUAUAAGGUGUGAAAGGUGAUGUUGACGUCCUUGUCCAGGGACACUGUGAGAGCCACUGCUCCAGAGCCUUGCAACUCAAGCUGUUAUCCAUUCUUCCUGCUUUGCAACACUGGUUCUCAGCCUUGACUGCAAAUCGCUAUCACCUGGCGAGCUUUACAGACUGCUGAUUCUCGGGCCCCAUGCCCAGGGAUGCGGAGGAAAUCAGUACGGGUGCAGCCCGGGAAGCCGAAC
rnacentral:lncRNA from 1 species